UGGGGAAUUUUGGACAAUGGGCGAAAGCCUGAUCCAGCAAUGCCGCGUGUGUGAAGAAGGCCUUCGGGUUGUAAAGCACUUUUGUCCGGAAAGAAAUCCUUGGCUCUAAUACAGUCGGGGGAUGACGGUACCGGAAGAAUAAGCACCGGCUAACUACGUGCCAGCGGCCGCGGUAAUACGUAGGGUGCAAGCGUUAAUCGGAAUUACUGGGCGUAAAGCGUGCGCAGGCGGUUUGCUAAGACCGAUGUGAAAUCCCCGGGCUCAACCUGGGAACUGCAUUGGUGACUGGCAGGCUAGAGUAUGGCAGAGGGGGGUAGAAUUCCACGUGUAGCAGUGAAAUGCGUAGAGAUGUGGAGGAAUACCGAUGGCGAAGGCAGCCCCCUGGGCCAAUACUGACGCUCAUGCACGAAAGCGUGGGGAGCAAACAGGAUUAGAUACCCUGGUAGUCCACGCCCUAAACGAUGUCAACUAGUUGUUGGGGACUUCAUUUUCCUUAGUAACGUAGCUAACGCGUGAAGUUGACCGCCUGGGGAGUACGGUCGCAAGAUU
rnacentral:rRNA from 1 species